AUAUUCAUUUGACGUUAGCUGCAGAAGAAGCACCGGCUAACUCCGUGCCAGCAGCCGCGGUAAUACGGAGGGUGCGAGCGUUAAUCGGAAUUACUGGGCGUAAAGCGCAUGCAGGUGGUUUGUUAAGUCAGAUGUGAAAGCCCGGGGCUCAACCUCGGAAUUGCAUUUGAAACUGGCAAACUAGAGUACUGUAGAGGGGGUAGAAUUUCAGGUGUAGCGGUGAAAUGCGUAGAGAUCUGAAGGAAUACCGGUGGCGAAGGCGGCCCCCUGGACAGAUACUGACACUCAGAUGCGAAAGACGUGGGGAGGCAAACAAGGAGUUAGUAUACCCUCGGUAG
rnacentral:rRNA from 1 species